UGUUCCAGAGAAAGCUCAGCAAAAUUUCUAAAAUAAUGUUAUUUUCUUCCCAGGUUAAUUCAACUAACAGCUACGAAUUAAGAACUAAAGCCUCUGCUAUGACCAACCACCUGAUAGCAAUCUGUCUAAGCCUCCAAUCAUCAGAGCAGCAAGAUGAUUGGAUAAUUAAGGAUGCUCAUACCAAAUGGAACAAAUCAGUUAUUCCUACUGGCCAGGAACUGUAUCCAGAAAGAGAGACACAUAUAUAUUGAUAUGCCCCAGGCCCUGGACUCCUAAAAACUGAGAGGACAAGCUCACAUACGACUGGUACUUAGACUUCUGAGGAGAGCGCUACAAAGGUCUCAUCUUUAUGAGGGGUUUCCUCUCAUACUCCACACCCUGGGCAGCUGGGCUUUAUCUCUUUCCUGCCUUCCAUAUCCAC